GAUGAGCGCUGGCGGCGUGCUUAACACAUGCAAGUCGAGCGAGUGAGUUCUUCGGAACGAUCUAGCGGCGGACGGGUGAGUAACACGUGGGCAACCUGCCUCAUUGAGGGGAAUAGCCUCCCGAAAGGGAGAUUAAUACCGCAUAAAAUUAUCGAGUGGCAUCACAUGAUAAUCAAAGGAGUAAUCCGCUAUGAGAUGGGCCCGCGGCGCAUUAGCUAGUUGGUAAGGUAACGGCUCACCAAGGCGACGAUGCGUAGCCGACCUGAGAGGGUGAUCGGCCACAUUGGGACUGAGACACGGCCCAGACUCCUACGGGAGGCAGCAGUGGGGAAUAUUGCACAAUGGGGGAAACCCUGAUGCAGCAACGCCGCGUGAGUGAUGAAGGUCUUCGGAUUGUAAAGCUCUGUCUUUGGGGACGAUAAUGACGGUACCCAAGGAGGAAGCCACGGCUAACUACGUGCCAGCCGCCGCGGUAA
rnacentral:rRNA from 1 species